rnacentral:rRNA from 1 species
AGUGAACGCUGGCGGUAGGCCUAACACAUGCAAGUCGAACGGCAGCACAGUAAGAGCUUGCUCUUACGGGUGGCGAGUGGCGGACGGGUGAGGAAUACAUCGGAAUCUACUUUUUCGUGGGGGAUAACGUAGGGAAACUUACGCUAAUACCGCAUACGACCUACGGGUGAAAGCAGGGGAUCUUCGGACCUUGCGCGAUUGAAUGAGCCGAUGUCGGAUUAGCUAGUUGGCGGGGUAAAGGCCCACCAAGGCGACGAUCCGUAGCUGGUCUGAGAGGAUGGUCAGCCACACUGGAACUGAGACACGGUCCAGACUCCUACGGGAGGCAGCAGUGGGGAAUAUUGGACAAUGGGCGCAAGCCUGAUCCAGCCAUACCGCGUGGGUGAAGAAGGCCUUCGGGUUGUAAAGCCCUUUUGUUGGGAAAGAAAAGCAUCAGGUUAAUACCCCGCUGUUCUGACGGUACCCAAAGAAUAAGCACCGGCUAACUUCGUG